GGUUCAUUCAAAUUUCUGCCCUAUCAACUUUCGAUGGUAGGAUAGUGGCCUACCAUGGUAUCAACGGGUAACGGGGAAUUAGGGUUCUAUUCCGGAGAGGGAGCCUGAGAAACGGCUACCACAUCCAAGGAAGGCAGCAGGCGCGCAAAUUACCCAAUCCCGACCGGGGAGGUAGUGACAAUAAAUACUGAUACAGGGCUCUUUUGGGUCUUGUAAUUGGAAUGAGUACAAUUUAAAUACCUUAACGGGGAACAAUUGGAGGGCAAGUCUGGUGCCAGCAGCCGCGGUAAUUCCAGCUCCAAUAGCGUAUAUUAAAGUUGUUGAGGUUAAAAAGCUCGUAGUUG
rnacentral:rRNA from 1 species